rnacentral:rRNA from 1 species
CUACGGGACGCUCCAGUGGGGAAUAUUGCACAAUGGGCGCAAGCCUGAUGCAGCCAUGCCGCGUGUAUGAAGAAGGCCUUCGGGUUGUAAAGUACUUUCAGCGGGGAGGAAGGGAGUAAAGUUAAUACCUUUGCUCAUUGACGUUACCCGCAGAAGAAGCACCGGCUAACUGCCGUGCCAGCAGCCGCGGUAAUACGGGGGGUGCAAGCGUUAAUCGGAAUUACUGGGCGUAAAGCGCACGCAGGCGGUUUGUUAAGUCAGAUGUGAAAUCCCCGGGCUCAACCUGGGAACUGCAUCUGAGACUGGCAAGCUUGAGUCUCGUAGCGGGGGGUAGAAUUCCAGGUGUAGCGGUGAAAUGCGUAGAGAUCUGGAGGAAUACCGGUGGCGAAGGCGGCCCCCUGGACGAAGACUGACGCUCAGGUGCGAAAGCGUGGGGAGCAAACAGGAUUAGAUACCCUUGUAGUC